GGGCGCAUGGUCUAGGGGUAGUAAGUUACCACAAUUAAUCUCGUCGGGCAAAGUUCCCAACUAACAACGUACACAGUGAUUUUCGCUUCGCAUCAAUCAAGAUACGAUUGUGAAAGGUCCGGGGUUCAAAUCCCCGUACGUCCA